rnacentral:lncRNA from 1 species
ACCCCAAGCCCAGUGUCAGGGAGUUUCACAGGAUUCAGAGGAAAGAAGAAAAUGUCACUGUCAUGCUUUGAAGUAUUUUCUGCAUCAAGUCUUAACUGUGUAUGGGAAUUGUCUUUCUUCAAGUUCCCAGAUACUUCCUGGGAGAACAGAGGCUACAGUCUACCUUUGCAGAUCCCAGCCCUAUCCCCAGGCCAGUAAUGAUCUUACAAAUGCCUCUUGUGAACCGACAGUGACACCUCAGAGCCCUAAUGGGAGAAGAAGGGCAAGUGUGGGCAAGGCCCCUGGCUCUCCUGCCUGCAGCCAUUUCUCAAGCAACCUGUUUCUCAGGGAGACUUCAAGAAACAGCUCCUGGUCUUUGCUUGAAAAGGAAACCAGUCGUUCAAGGGUUAAUCAUCAGUGCUAAGUGAAAAGCUCUGUGACUGUACUCUAAAGACUUCAUCACAAGAGGAGAAAUCUCUUGUCUACACACUUGUAUCAGCCUAGGAGUCAGGGGCAGAGGCAUGUGGGAGUGGCCAGACUUGAAAGUAACCCUCUGAAUGCAAGGUAUGGACAGAAGUAACUGAUUCCUUCACAGUCCUCAGGAACCACAUGGUACCCAGACUACAGUACCAGAGAAGAGCACCUUCCCACUUGGGUAAACUG